UGCAGCCCACUUCUGGCCUCUACCUCUCCCACCCAUCGCUGCCGCCCCACGUAUGCCGCUACCCCAUAUGAGCUUAUCCGUGCCGCCACCAGCCAUACAUCGUGCGUCGCCGACUCUUCCCCACGGUCCCCAUCUUCCCUCUACGCCGCCUCUCUCGGAUCUUUGAGAAGCUCGACGUUGCCACGCAGGAGAACGCGCGCUGUGUCCCUCCGAAUCACGCCAUGGCCACAUCUUCUUCUUCAACUCUGACAUCGCGCCGCCGUGUCGCCGAUCUCCUCCUCGAGCAAACCCUAGCCAAAUUUUCAUAUCCACCCUGAGAUCCUGACCUGCCCGCCUGCUAAUGCAGACGGAGGCGUGGGUGGGCGGUGUCGUUGUCGACUGCCGGGGCGCCGGCCGCUAGAAUCAGGAACGUCGGCACCGCCACCAUGGCGCACCUCGCUGCUGACGGGAUCGCGCGGACGUCGUCAGCAAGACCUGCACCAGGCCCCUCCCCUGCCUCACCAUACUCUUACAGGUUAUUGUUUCCGGCUCCCUAUUUCUCUCUUGCUUUCUUGUAUGACGGAUUGGGGAACUUAGUGCUGGAGAGGGAAAUUCUCAUAAAGAUUUGGGGGCUGAAAAAGUACGGGAUAAACCUUGGGGUUCUAUCAAACUAAGGAAUUGAAGUGUUUAUGUGAGUGGCUGACCCGUGGUGGAGGUGUGUGAGCAGCGCAUGCCCGGUCUGUGUGAUCAGCAUGUCCACGUCUCCCAACCUGCCGGCUGCCACUUCUCAACACUGACCUCAAGAAUCCUCGAAUGGAUUUGUAGGCUAUGGAUCAAUACCACUCCAUUGGUCUAACACAGCUGGUUCAUGUUUAGCAUUUGGCAACAUAGAAUAUCGUCGACGUACGGCUUUGGCUUGGAAAUUUUGUCAACAUCAAAUUUUGACAAUUUCGUGAUGAAGCACGAGCGGGUGCUAACCAUAAGUGACCGGAAGCCUGCAGCAUGUGCAAUAUGUGGUCUUGUGUUACAGUUGAUCAAUCUACGUGCGCAUUAGAUUACAGUUUUGGAGGUUUGAUAGUGUGCUUGAGCGGGGAUACCACACUUCCAAUCUUGAAUGGACAGGAACGUAUUGUCAAUUGGAUGUGCUCUGUGAAACUAAGACAAAGUUCAAUGAAACGAUGGAAUAGUGACCUGCAUCAUAUUGUUCGUUGAUGAAAUAGCCCUUAUCCGACUAAAGAGAAAUUGGACUGAUAUCAUCAAGCUGGAAAAGUUUUUGUGUAGUCCUGUUGGUCAGAAUAUAAACGGUUAAAGAUGCUGAAGUUUUCCAGUUAACCUCAUGUAGGUACUUCAUUUUGUUAGUCGGAAUUAUCCAGGUAGCUGGUUAUGUAUGCAGACUGGGUAUGGCUGUUACAAGGCUCGAAACAAAUUGGAGACACAUGGUAAAGUAAUAGUAAUGCAUGCAAAUGACAGCGGUGCUCUUCAA